rnacentral:lncRNA from 1 species
AGAAAAUUGAGCCAAGAGCUGGAAGCCAGAAGUUCCCCAUGCCUGCCCUACACAUCCAGGCUCUGAGUUUUUACUUUUUCUACUAUAUUGCCAUGCAAGUAACUUUAACUUUGCUUCUCUGUUCUCUGUCACUGAGAAAUACCAUGUCUCCAUGGCAAUAGGAAUGCAUUUACCUUCACCAAACCUGCUCAAAUCCUUGCUGAACAGGACGUAGCAGGAGUUGACUUUCCAAUGGUGGAGGUUCAGAGUACAGCCUGUAGCCACAGAGAAAAGUUGCUUGUUCCUGAAAUGCAGACACACCUCCAAUCCAGAGAGCAAGUCAUCUCGUGGAGGAAGUGGUAGCUGUAAAAAUUCAAAUGGAAAAGGCAUAGGUGCUGUUUAUAAACCAGCCCAGCUUUGGCUCAGGACAAGCCACCCAUCUCCAGGGGCUGGCGUGUGUGCCUCUGCUGACCGCAGCUGCUGACCUGUCUCCUGUACACUCUGGAUGCUGUGAUGCCCAGACAGCAAAACUUCUUUUCAGGCUCCCCAAGAAGGCAGGGACCCCAGUUCUCUCAAGAGCUAACAUUAGAGCAAAUCAGUCUCAAGAGGGAGUCCCAGAAUCAAGAGGAAAUAUGGGCUUGCUCCUUGAUCCUGGAGUAGAGCACAUCUUCCCUGCCUGCAUGGCCAUGCUGUGAAUCUGCAGCUCAGAAGUUGGUCUCCCUAAUGCCACACUCUGGAACCAUGUCAGCCACAUGAUUGUGGCUUCCCGAGGCCACGGCGUGUGCACUCUGCCUGUUCAUGUUGUGUUUUCCUGGUGACUCCUUCCUUUGCUAUUCAGUAAUAAGGCUGAUCUGCCAUAGCAACGCCCACAGCCAAUGGCACCUGCACAGUGCGUUCCUUCUCUACUCCACAAUAUUUCCUUAAAGAAACACACACCUGGAAAUUGAAUUUCUGGAAUGAUUCCCAGAUGCUUUCCAGAGGAAGCCUGGCGACGUGGGCAAAUAGCCCUUUAUUUUCCACCACGGGAACAAAUAUUUCUGAUCUUUCUUUAGUGUUGGGGCUGCAUGCAAUAAAUACUCAGGUGACACUUUUCUGGGUGGCAGUGGUGAGUGAUGGGAAUGAGGCUAAAUAAAUACUUGUCAGUUUGUGUCAUUUCCACCAGCACUGAGAGGGUGACUGUUUCAGUAUCCAAGCGGAAAUUGUGGACUCAGGGCAAAAAGACAGAGAUGAAAAUUCAGUAGUUAUCUUCAGAGGGAAAGAAUUUUAAGCUGUGGGGAUGGAUAAAAUCUCUAUGGAAGGGAAAAAAAGAGAGACAGACAGAUGAAAGGAGAUGGGGCCUUUGAUCAUAUAAUUCAUUGCCCAAACUGGAACAACUUUGAGAGUGAAAGGAGGUCACUAUUAAUAGUGACACUGGGGCCUCAGAUGUAAACUAGGAUUGUCUUGGGCACACAGGGACUUAUGGUUGCCCUAAUGCUAGGGUCAGUCUAUUGAAGGGGCCAAUGAUGAUAGCCUGACCCUUGCCACAGCCCUGACACUUGCCACAUAACAGUAGGGAGUGGUAAUGAGGCAGUCACUCAAUAUAGCUCAGAACAUAAGACCUUCUGGUAGGGUCUUCACUGGGGGUGGGGGAUGGUGCUUCAUGAACUCCUGAAACUUGUCUUCCCUUGGCUGCCAAAGGCCUCCCUCCCUUCUCUCAUCUUCCUCUUUCCAUGGGGAUGAGGGAGGUACCGUGAGGCCGGGACACAGAUGUCCAUGUGCUCUCCAAAUGUCUUGGGGGAGGGGAGAAAACUAUAACUCUUGGAAAUUUGAUAGAAUUGUCAAAAGAAUAUAAUCAGCUACAUACAUUGUUUAACCAAAGUUGUAGUUCUAUGAUAAAAGAUAAAAAUUUUCUUUUAUGAGAAUAAAAUACCUAGGAAUCCAACUUACAAGGGAUGUGAAGGACCUCUUCAAGGAGAACUACAAACCACUGCUCAAGGAAAUAAAAGAGGAUACAAACAAAUGGAAGAACAUUCCAUGCUCAUGGGUAGAAAGAAUCAAUAUUGUGAAAAUGGCCAUACUGCUCAAGGUAAUUUAUAGAUUCAAUGCCAUCCCCAUCAAGCUACCAAUGACUUUCUUCACAGAAUUGGAAAAAACUACUUUAAAGUUCAUAUGGAACCAAAAAAGAGCCCACAUCGCCAAGUCAAUCCUAAGCCAGAAGAACAAAGCUGGAGGCAUCACACUACCUGACUUCAAACUAUACUACAAGGCUACAGUCACCAAAACAGCAUGGUACUGGUACCAAAACAGAGAUAUAGAUCAAUGGAACAGAACAGAGCCCUCAGAAAUAAUGCCGCAUAUCUACAACUAUCUGAUCUUUGACAAACCUGAGAAAAACAAGCAAUGGGGAAAGGAUUCCCUAUUUAAUAAAUGGUGCUGGGAAAACUGGCUAGCCAUAUGUAGAAAGCUGAAACUGGAUCCCUUCCUUACACCUUAUACAAAAAUCAAUUCAAGAUGGAUUAAGGACUUAAACGUUAGACCUAACAUCAUAAAAACCCUAGAAGAAAACCUAGGCAUUACCAUUCAGGACAUAGGCAUGGGCAAGGACUUCAUGUCUAAAACACCAAAAGCAAUGGCAACAAAAGCCAAAAUUGACAAAUGGGAUCUAAUUAAACUAAAGAGCUUCUGCACAGCAAAAGAAACUACCAUCAGAGUGAACAGGCAACCUACAAAAUGGGAGAAAAUUUUCGCAACCUACUCAUCGGACAAAGGGCUAAUAUCCAGAAUCUACAAUGAACUCAAACAAAUUUACAAGAAAAAAACAAACAACCCCAUCAAAAAGUGGGUGAAGGACAUGAAC